UCAGAAAAUGAAGUUUGUCCAACAUGGCCGCCAUCAUGACUUUCCAGCGCUUGCCUUCAUUCUCAGGUUUAGUUCACAGAUUUAUAGCUCAGAGACACAAGUCUUAACUCAGUGCUGUUUUGGUGUGAGACAGGCAUCUGUUUCUUUAGCUAGAAACUUAGUAAAUAAGCAGAUUUCUCUCAUCAGACGUCCUCUCUGAGCUGAUCGACUGGCUUUUUGGCUAAAGAGAGACACUUUGUGAUUUUCUUUUACUGACCUUAAUGGGUUUUUUUAACAUAAGAGGGAGUGGGAGCCAGCAGCGGUGGAACCCAGCGGGCACCGAGAGCGACCUCGGAACAAUACAGCAGCGUGGAGAGCAGAUGGGAGGUGCAUCUGCCUGAUCCUCCCCUGCGUCUCAU